rnacentral:miRNA from 1 species
GACGUCGAUAUUCGACGUCAUAAACACGAUCAAAUUUGGUGUUUAUGACGUCGAUAUUCGACGUCAUAAACACGAUCAACUUUGCUGUUUAUGACGUCGAUAUUCAACGUCAUAAACACGAUCAACUUUGGUGUUUAUGACGUCGAAUAUCACGUCAUAAACACGAUCAAAUUUGGUGUUUAUGACGUCGAUAUAAGACGUCAUAAACACGAUCAACUUUGGUGUUUAUGGCGUCGAUAUUCGACGUC